rnacentral:rRNA from 1 species
UCGCUGACGAGUGGCGGACGGGUGAGUAAUGUCUGGGAAACUGCCUGAUGGAGGGGGAUAACUACUGGAAACGGUAGCUAAUACCGCAUAACGUCGCAAGACCAAAGAGGGGGACCUUCGGGCCUCUUGCCAUCGGAUGUGCCCAGAUGGGAUUAGCUUGUUGGUGGGGUAACGGCUCACCUAGGCGACGAUCCCUAGCUGGUCUGAGAGGAUGACCAGCCACACUGGAACUGAGACACGGUCCAGACUCCUACGGGAGGCAGCAGUGGGGAAUAUUGCACAAUGGGCGCAAGCCUGAUGCAGCCAUGCCGCGUGUAUGAAGAAGGCCUUCGGGUUGUAAAGUACUUUCAGCGGGGAGGAAGGGAGUAAAGUUAAUACCUUUGCUCAUUGACGUUACCCGCAGAAGAAGCACCGGCUAACUCCGUGCCAGCAGCCGCGGUAAUACGGAGGGUGCAAGCGUUUAAUCGGAAUUACUGGGCGUAAAGCGCACGCAGGCGGUUUGUUAAGUCAGAUGUGAAAUCCCCGGGCUCAACCUGGGAACUGCAUCUGAUACUGGCAAGCUUGAGUCUCGUAGAGGGGGGUAGAAUUCCAGGUGUAGCGGUGAAAUGCGUAGAGAUCUGGAGGAAUACCGGUGGCGAAGGCGGCCCCCUGGACGAAGACUGACGCUCAGGUGCGAAAGCGUGGGGAGCAAACAGGAUUAGAUACCCUGGUAGUCCACGCCGUAAACGAUGUCGACUUGGAGGUUGUGCCCUUGAGGCGUGGCUUCCGGAGCUAACGCGUUAAGUCGACCGCCUGGGGAGUACGGCCGCAAGGUUAAAACUCAAAUGAAUUGACGGGGGCCCGCACAAGCGGUGGAGCAUGUGGUUUAAUUCGAUGCAACGCGAAGAACCUUACCUGGUCUUGACAUCCACAGAACUUUCCAGAGAUGGAUUGGUGCCUUCGGGAACUGUGAGACAGGUGCUGCAUGGCUGUCGUCAGCUCGUGUUGUGAAAUGUUGGGUUAAGUCCCGCAACGAGCGCAACCCUUAUCCUUUGUUGCCAGCGGUCCGGCCGGGAACUCAAAGGAGACUGCCAGUGAUAAACUGGAGGAAGGUGGGGAUGACGUCAAGUCAUCAUGGCCCUUACGACCAGGGCUACACACGUGCUACAAUGGCGCAUACAAAGAGAAGCGACCUCGCGAGAGCAAGCGGACCUCAUAAAGUGCGUCGUAGUCCGGAUUGGAGUCUGCAACUCGACUCCAUGAAGUCGGAAUCGCUAGUAAUCGUGGAUCAGAAUGCCACGGUGAAUACGUUCCCGGGCCUUGUACACACCGCCCGUCACACCAUGGGAGUGGGUUGCAAAAGAA